rnacentral:rRNA from 1 species
UCGGGAAUUUUGGGCAAUGGGCGAAAGCCUGACCCAGCAACGCCGCGUGAAGGAUGAAGUAUUUCGGUAUGUAAACUUCGAAAGAAUAGGAAGAAUAAAUGACGGUACUAUUUAUAAGGUCCGGCUAACUACGUGCCAGCAGCCGCGGUAAUACGUAGGGACCAAGCGUUGUUCGGAUUUACUGGGCGUAAAGGGCGCGUAGGCGGCAAUUCAAGUCAUCUGUGAAAUCUCCGGGCUUAACUCGGAACGGUCAGAUGAUACUGCUUUGCUAGAGUGCAGAAGGGGCAAUCGGAAUUCUUGGUGUAGCGGUGAAAUGCGUAGAUAUCAAGAGGAACACCUGAGGUGAAGACGGGUUGCUGGGCUGACACUGACGCUGAGGUGCGAAAGCGUGGGGAGCAAACAGGAUUAGAUACCCUAGUAGUCCCUGAGCGGGGCUGGCAAGGCGCAU